AAAUAUCCUCCAGAUCCGACAUUCAGAUAGUAAAUUUAACAACCUGCAUUUAUGUAGUGCCUUUAAAGUAGCAAAGCAUCCCAAGUCAAUUUACAGGAAUAAUCAAAACAAAAUUUGCCAUAAGUGACCAAAAGCUUGGUCAAAGAGAUAUAGUGUUAAAGAAGCACCUUAAAAGGAGGAGAGGCAAUAAGGUUUGGGGUAAUUUCCUAGGCUUAGGGCCUAGGCUCAAGAAAUGGCCACCAAUGAGGAAGAAAGCUGGAGAUGCAUAAGAAUCCAGGAUUGGGGGAAUGCUGAGAUCUCAUAGGGUUACAGAGUCCAGGAGGUUGCAGAUAAAGAAGUAGGCAAUUUAAAAAAAUAGGUAUGCAUGAGACAUAACAUUUCAGGAUUUACUCAGGUAACAGUGGAAGAAUCACCUUUUACUGUGACUGGGUUGUUAAUGUCCUGAUCGAUCGAUUAACUAGUCUGCACAGAUUAAAACCUAUGUCUCCAAUCAGUAAGACAAGGCCGAUUCUUCAUGUUAUUUCCCUCUGGAUUCCUUCGUCUCCCUUUAGACUCUCUCACUUGAAGGAAUAUCAUACUGAGCAAUAGUUCAGCAGCUGAUAAUGACAUUCCUCCUACAGCUCAUCCAAAUAACCUUUCAUGAUGUAAGAAUCCAGACAAGAACCAAAGGGUUACUUGACCUUAAGGGAGAUCUCACAAUUGAGUCUGUUCUGUUGUCCUCCAGUAUCAACACACACAUGCAUGUCCAGUUGAGCCAAAUAGAUAGCAGGGCGCAUUGAUGUUUGGUAUACUGACAUCAUGCUGAUAGCGUUCACAACCAACUACCAAGUGUAACUAUCUUUUUUUGAGCCUCUUCAUUAAAAUAAUCAUGCUUAACGGCAAUAAGCAUGGGUAUCAUACAUCUGAAAAGUUAGGUGACAAAAAGAUAGUUAAAGAAAAGGUCUUUAAGGUAGCUUUGAAUGUGGGAAUACACCGGGCAAAUGGGCGAAAGGCAAUCAACCGUGAUGAAUGAAGACAGGAAUGACAGCCAAGUGGGACAGUAUGUGGAUGGCAGAACAAGAAUAAAAAUACCUGGAAAAACUCAGCAGGUCUGACGGCAUCUGCGGAGAGGAAUACAGUUAACAUUUCGAGUCCAGAGUUUUGAAGAAGUUGGAAGCUAUGUUGAAAAAGUUUCUACAGUGACAAGAAGGAGAGGCAGAGACAGUUUCCUUUUAGGAGGCUCUGCCUUCAAGUAAUGCAUGUACCAUACAUUGCAUCAACAUACAUUACGUUCCAAACAUGAAAUGGUAAUAAAAGUGAAGAUGUCGCAAACAAUUUUAAAGACUAAUCUCUGGAGCGGGCUAGGAAGAGUCAUUAAAAAAUGCAAAGACGUCCCCCUUCAGGGAUGUCCACUGAAGUCCAAAAUUUGUGAAAACCCCUUUUACUUCUGAGGGAGCAGGAGACAUGGAAGGACAAAGGAGAUGAACAUAAUGAAUUUCCUUGCCUGGUGGAACAACGUUUCAUCAAAAUUAACAUAGCAGCCAUUUUAAGUUUUGGAACUGCAUAAAGUCAUUUGAGAACAGAUAGUGUGUGCAGAACCCCAGGAAGAACUCUGAGAAACAUCAGCGGGGAAUCUUGGCCAAGGGAGGUCAAAGACGAAGGUAUUAAGAAAUCAACCGCUGUUUUGCUGAAAGAGUCCAGGUAACUGCAAGUGCUGUAAUUGCAGAAUUAAUGAGGAAUAGAAAACACACUCUCUCCUCCAAAAUCCAGCUGACAUGCAGAAGCCAUCACAGCUGCUAAACCAAACCUCAAAGUUUCUUUGGAGAGGAGGAACCCAAGCAACUGGCCCGCAAUGAUAUCUCAGACUGAUUUGAAAUCUCAUCUUUAAGUAUCUUUUUAUCUGCUUUUAAACUUUGUAUCUGUAUUUUAUAGUUAAAAACUAUCACUUUUACUGAAAUGACUUUCAGCAGUAGUUUUGUAAUAAAAACUAACCUUUAUCUUGUUUAAGACUAA